rnacentral:rRNA from 1 species
CCUACGGGGGGCAGUAGUGAGGAAUAUUGGUCAAUGGACGAGAGUCUGAACCAGCCAAGUAGCGUGAAGGAUGACUGCCCUAUGGGUUGUAAACUUCUUUUAUAUGGGAAUAAAAUGUUCCACGUGUGGGAUUUUGUAUGUACCAUAUGAAUAAGGAUCGGCUAACUCCGUGCCAGCAGCCGCGGUAAUACGGAGGAUCCGAGCGUUAUCCGGAUUUAUUGGGUUUAAAGGGAGCGUAGGUGGAUUGUUAAGUCAGUUGUGAAAGUUUGCGGCUCAACCGUAAAAUUGCAGUUGAAACUGGCAGUCUUGAGUACAGUAGAGGUGGGCGGAAUUCGUGGUGGAGCGGUGAAAUGCUUAGAUAUCACGAAGAACUCCGAUUGCGAAGGCAGUUCACUGGACUGCAACUGACACUGAGGCUCGAAAGUGUGGGUAUCAAACAGGAUUAGAUACCCGAGUAGUC